GGGUUGUGAGGUUAAGCGACUAAGCGUACACGGUGGAUGCCCCGCAGUCAGAGGCGAUGAAGGACGUGCUAAUCUGCGAUAAGCGUCGGUAAGGUGAUAUGAACCGUUAUAACCGGCGAUUUCCGAAUGGGGAAACCCAGUGUGAUUCGUCACACUAUCAUUAACUGAAUCCAUAGGUUAAUGAGGCGAACCGGGGGAACUGAAACAUCUAAGUACCCCGAGGAAAAGAAAUCAACCGAGAUUCCCCCAGUAGCGGCGAGCGAACGGGGAGCAGCCCAGAGCCUGAAUCAGUGUGUGUGUUAGUGGAAGCGUCUGGAAAGGCGCGCGAUACAGGGUGACAGCCCCGUAUUAAAAAAAUGCACAUGCUGUGAGCUCGAUGAGUAGGGCGGGACACGUGGUAUCCUGUCUGAAUAUGGGGGGACCAUCCUCCAAGGCUAAAUACUCCUGACUGACCGAUAGUGAACCAGUACCGUGAGGGAAAGGCGAAAAGAACCCCGGCGAGGGGAGUGAAAAAGAACCUGAAACCGUGUACGUACAAGCAGUGGGAGCACGCUUAGGCGUGUGACUGCGUACCUUUUGUAUAAUGGGUCAGCGACUUAUAUUCUGUAGCAAGGUUAACCGAAUAGGGGAGCCGAAGGGAAACCGAGUCUUAACUGGGCGUUAAGUUGCAGGGUAUAGACCCGAAACCCGGUGAUUCAGCCAUGGGCAGGUUGAAGGUUGGGUAACACUAACUGGAGGACCGAACCGACUAAUGUUGAAAAAUUAGCGGAUGACUUGUGGCUGGGGGUGAAAGGCCAAUCAAACCGGGAGAUAGCUGGUUCUCCCCGAAAGCUAUUUAGGUAGCGCCUCGUGAAUUCAUCUCCGGGGGUAGAGCACUGUUUCGGCAAGGGGGUCAUCCCGACUUACCAACCCGAUGCAAACUGCGAAUACCGGAGAAUGUUAUCACGGGAGACACACGGCGGGUGCUAACGUCCGUCGUGAAGAGGGAAACAACCCAGACCGCCAGCUAAGGUCCCAAAGUCAUGGUUAAGUGGGAAACGAUGUGGGAAGGCCCAGACAGCCAGGAUGUUGGCUUAGAAGCAGCCAUCAUUUAAAGAAAGCGUAAUAGCUCACUGGUCGAGUCGGCCUGCGCGGAAGAUGUAACGGGCUAAACCAUGCACCGAAGCUGCGGCAGCGACGCUUAUGCGUUGUUGGGUAGGGGAGCGUUCUGUAAGCCUGCGAAGGUGUGCUGUGAGGCAUGCUGGAGGUAUCAGAAGUGCGAAUGCUGACAUAAGUAACGAUAAAGCGGGUGAAAAGCCCGCUCGCCGGAAGACCAAGGGUUCCUGUCCAACGUUAAUCGGGGCAGGGUGAGUCGACCCUAAGGCGAGGCCGAAAGGCGUAGUCGAUGGGAAACAGGUUAAUAUUCCUGUACUUGGUGUUACUGCGAAGGGGGGACGGAGAAGGCUAUGUUGGCCGGGCGACGGUUGUCCCGGUUUAAACGUGUAGGCUGGUUUUCCAGGCAAAUCCGGAAAAUCAAGGCUGAGGCGUGAUGACGAGGCACUACGGUGCUGAAGCAACAAAUGCCCUGCUUCCAGGAAAAGCCUCUAAGCAUCAGGUAACAUCAAAUCGUACCCCAAACCGACACAGGUGGUCAGGUAGAGAAUACCAAGGCGCUUGAGAGAACUCGGGUGAAGGAACUAGGCAAAAUGGUGCCGUAACUUCGGGAGAAGGCACGCUGAUAUGUAGGUGAAGUCCCUCGCGGAUGGAGCUGAAAUCAGUCGAAGAUACCAGCUGGCUGCAACUGUUUAUUAAAAACACAGCACUGUGCAAACACGAAAGUGGACGUAUACGGUGUGACGCCCGCCCGGUGCCGGAAGGUUAAUUGAUGGGGUCAGCGCAAGCGAAGCUCUUGAUCGAAGCCCCGGUAAACGGCGGCCGUAACUAUAACGGUCCUAAGGUAGCGAAAUUCCUUGUCGGGUAAGUUCCGACCUGCACGAAUGGCGUAAUGAUGGCGGGCUGUCUCCACCCGAGACUCAGUGAAAUUGAACUCGCUGUGAAGAUGCAGUGUACCCGCGGCAAGACGGAAAGACCCCGUGAACCUUUACUAUAGCUUGACACUGAACAUUGAGCCUUGAUGUGCAGGAUAGGUGGGAGGCUUUGAAGUGUGGACGCCAGUCUGCAUGGAGCCGACCUUGAAAUACCACCCUUUAAUGUUUGAUGUUCUAACGUGGACCCGUGAUCCGGGUUGCGGACAGUGUCUGGUGGGUAGUUUGACUGGGGCGGUCUCCUCCUAAAGAGUAACGGAGGAGCACGAAGGUUGGCUAAUCCUGGUCGGACAUCAGGAGGUUAGUGCAAUGGCAUAAGCCAGCUUGACUGCGAGCGUGACGGCGCGAGCAGGUGCGAAAGCAGGUCAUAGUGAUCCGGUGGUUCUGAAUGGAAGGGCCAUCGCUCAACGGAUAAAAGGUACUCCGGGGAUAACAGGCUGAUACCGCCCAAGAGUUCAUAUCGACGGCGGUGUUUGGCACCUCGAUGUCGGCUCAUCACAUCCCGGGCUGAAGUAGGUCCCAAGGGUAUGGCUGUUCGCCAUUUAAAGUGGUACGCGAGCUGGGUUUAGAACGUCGUGAGACAGUUCGGUCCCUAUCUGCCGUGGGCGCUGGAGAACUGAGGGGGGGCUGCUCCUAGUACGAGAGGACCGGAGUGGACGCAUCACUGGUGUUCGGGUUGUCAUGCCAAUGGCACUGCCCGGUAGCUAAAUGCGGAAGAGAUAAGUGCUGAAAGCAUCUAAGCACGAAACUUGCCCCGAGAUGAGUUCUCCCUGACUCCUUGAGAGUCCUGAAGGAACGUUGAAGACGACGACGUUGAUAGGCCGGGUGUGUAAGCGCAGCGAUGCGUUGAGCUAACCGGUACUAAUGAACCGUGAGGCUUAACCUUACAACGCCGAAGGUGUUU
rnacentral:rRNA from 1 species